GUGACAGUACCUCAUAUGGAGGUUGCUGCCUACCUGAGGCCUUCCAAAGGACCUAUUGCAGCAUUAUUGUGGAGUUCACUGCGAUACACCACAGCAGGAUUAUAGGGUUCACCAAGAUACAGAGCUUCCAUAGGAACAUCUACUAAAUCACAUGUAAAGAACCAGAAUCAGCGGUUACGCACAGGAAAGCAAUGGAGUCUCAUAGCUAAAUAAGGACUCAGCUUUUUUCUCUUGACUGUAUGUAUGUCUUGUCCAACUCAGUGGCUUUAGAAGAAGGUGAAUCUUUUUCGAUCUCUUGAGUCACACCUUUCCCAGCCAGCAGGGGUCGCUACUGCGAUGGAGUCAUCCAAGACUAGAGUACUCGGAGGCCCAACCACUCUGGACUACCCUUUGGAAUGACAGCUUCUGGUUUCAGGAGUUCAGCAGGAACUCUUUUGUUCCCAUCUUCCAGACUUUACAAAUUUAAAUCAACAGAGAUAGGAGGGAGCGGGGAGAUGCCAGCAUGUGUCUUGCCUUCACAGAGUACAAUGGUAUCAUCUCCCAGUCUCCUGUAUCAAGCUGUAAACGUUUUCUCCCCGGCAAAGUCUUAAGCCAGAAAACAAACAGCUCCAAAGAAAUGCUUUCAAAUAUAAAACCGUCCACGAAGUGUUGAGUGUCUCAUUGAUUUGAAACAAUGCAUUCCUUACCAGUCUCAGGCACCAUAAUCUUGACCAUUUUCUAGAUAAUCUGCAGGCACUACAAGAUCUGUAGGAACAAAAGACGUUGAUUACAGGUACACAGUGUAGUAGGUUGAAUUUAGCCUCUUAGAAUGAGACUUCUGUAACAGUCUUGUUUAUACAGCUAACUG